UACGUAGGGACCAAGCGUUGUUCGGAUUUACUGGGCGUAAAGGGCGCGUAGGCGGCGCGGUAAGUCACUUGUGAAAUCUCUGAGCUUAACUCAGAACGGCCAAGUGAUACUGCAGUGCUAGAGUGUGGAAGGGGAAGGUGGAAUUCCACGUGUAGCGGUGAAAUGCGUAGAGAUGUGGAGGAACACCGAUGGCGAAGGCAGCCUUCUGGGCCAACACUGACGCUGAUGCGCGAAAGCUAGGGGAGCGAACGGG
rnacentral:rRNA from 1 species